rnacentral:misc_RNA from 1 species
AAGUCGUAACAAGGUUUCCGUAGGUGAACCUGCGGAAGGAUCAUUACAAAUCUUUUGCGAGAGCUGUGUGCCGUUUACGGUUCACAGUGACUCACAACAUUAGCACAGGGUCGCAAGACUCUGAUGUUUACGCUUGUAUGUUUGACAGAGUUAGUUGAGAAUAAAAAAAGACAACUUUUAACAAUGGAUCUCUUGGCUCUU